GUCAAAUUUAAAAAGUCUUUACUGGGUUGUAUGAAAGUCUUUAGUUGCCAAUAUGUGGCGCUGAGUGCAAGAUGUCAAAUUAGAAAAAGUUAAAUUGUUUUGACAUAUUUUCAUAUAUUUUGAUUUACCAGUAAGCACUACAACCUAAUUUGAAAGAUAUAAUCACCAAAUUUUCAAAUGGAAUUGAAUAUAAGGCGGAAAAAGAUGAAAAUCAGCCAGAUUUUGCUUCAAUUACAACAUGUAUUGGGACUUUAAAUAUGAAAAGUGAAGAAUUAGAAGGCAACUUAGUUUCUCUUUUAAAAGAUGUAAAUUCAAAUCGUCCGAAGCGGGAAGGAAAAUUCAUAACUAAAGUAAUUUUUAAGAGUCCUCCAAGUAGUGAACAAUUGAGAAUAAAUCCCUUCGUUUAUAUAAAAGAAGAGUACAUAAAACCAAAAUCUAUUUAUAAAACAAGUUAUAAAGACGUAGACGAGAAUUCCGAAGAAAUGGAAAUCAAAAUCUAAAAUUUAAAAAUAUUUAUAGUCUUAUGUUUCGAUAUGAAAUUGUAGUAGAUAUCGUCUAAAUACUGAAAUUGUUAUGGAAUAAAAAUUUUUUUAACCAAUUUUUAUAAUUUUUUAGCGGGAAAAACGCUUUUUGAUUGAAAAAAUUAAGCUGAGCAACGGCGCUUAACAAAUUGUUCAAGAAGAAGAGGGAAAUCAUAUAUGAAAUAUUAAUAUGGAAAGAAGAAUAAGAUUACGUACUUUAAACACUCAUAUAACUUGCAAAAUAUGUGGAGGCUACUUCAUUGAUGCAACCACAGUCACUGAAUGUUUACAUACAUUUUGCAAAAGUUGUUUAGUAAAACACUUGGAAGAAAAGAAAACUUGUCCGACAUGCGAGAAUGUUAUUCAUCAGUCACAUCCAUUGCAAUAUAUAAGUUUUUGUAUUAAGUAUAUAAACUAGUACCGAAUCUGCAAGAAAGUGCGUUGAUAUAUUUUGCAUUUUAAUAUGAACUUUUUGAAAAGAAAUAUUUCUUUUUAGAUGAAAUGAAGAGGGAAAGAGAUUUUUAUAGAAGUCGUAAUAUAGCUUGUCCAAAAGAUUUACUACAGAAUCAUGAAGAUGAUGAUGACAAGGUUAAUGAAGCACAUGCUGAAUCCGGCUAUCAUAGUUUAGAUGAGCUAGUUAAUGUUUGUUUAGAGUGUAGUAGUAACAAUUUAAAAAAAUUGCAAUGAAGGUUUUCUAGGUGUAGUUCUCAAUCAACUAUCACUCAUUUAAAGAAAUUUUUAGCAAAAAAAAGUUUUAAACGGAAUAGA